rnacentral:rRNA from 1 species
UACGUAGGGUGUGAGCGUUAAUCGGAAUUACUGGGCGUAAAGGGUGCGCAGGUGGCUUCGCAAGUCGAGUGUGAAAUCCCCGGGCUUAACCUGGGAAUUGCGCUCGAAACUACGGAGCUGGAGUAUGGCAGAGGGAGGUGGAAUUCCACGUGUAGCGGUGAAAUGCGUAGAGAUGUGGAGGAACACCAAUGGCGAAGGCAGCCUCCUGGGCCAAUACUGACACUCAUGCACGAAAGCGUGGGGAGCAAACAGG